AGCCUGACGCAGCAACGCCGCGUGAGGGGAUGAAGUACGUCGAGAUGUAAACCUCUUUCAGCAGGGACGAAGCGAAAGUGACGGUACCUGCAGAAGAAGCGCCGGCUAAACUACGUGCCAGCAGCCGCGGUAAUACGUAGGGCGCAAGCGUUGUCCGGAUUUAUUGGGCGUAAAGGGCUCGUAGGCGGUCUGUCACGUCGGAUGUGAAAACUCAGUGCUUAACACUGGGCCUGCAUUCGAUACGGGCAGACUAGAGUUCGGUAGGGGAGACUGGAACUCCUGGUGUAGCGGUGGAAUGCGCAGAUAUCAGGAAGAACACCGAUGGCGAAGGCAGGUCUCUGGGCCGACACUGACGCUGAGGAGCGAAAAGCGUGGGGAGCAAACAGGAUUAGAUACCCUGGUAGUCCACGCCGUAAACGGUGGGCACUAGGUGUGGGAAACUAUCUACGUUUUCCGCGCCGCAGCUAACGCAUUAAGUGCCCGCCUGGGGAGUACGGCGCAAGGCUAAAACUCAAAGGAAUUGAC
rnacentral:rRNA from 1 species